rnacentral:rRNA from 1 species
GACAGAGGAUGCAAGCGUUAUCCGGAAUGAUUGGGCGUAAAGCGUCUGUAGGUGGCUUUUAAGUCCGCCGUCAAAUCCCAGGGCUCAACCCUGGACAGGCGGUGGAAACUACCAAGCUGGAGUACGGUAGGGGCAGAGGGAAUUUCCGGGUGGAGCGGUGAAAUGCGCAGAUAUCAGGAGGAACACCGGUGGCGAAGGCGGGUCUCUGGGCCGUAACUGACGCUGAGGAGCGAAAGCGUGGGGAGCGAACAGG